CCCGCCGGAGGGACCAACCAAACUCUUUCUGUAGUCCCCUCGCGGACGUUAUUUCUUACAGCUCUGAGCAAAAAUUCAAAAUGAAUCAAAACUUUCAACAACGGAUCUCUUGGUUCUGGCAUCGAUGAAGAACGCAGCGAAAUGCGAUAAGUAAUGUGAAUUGCAGAAUUCAGUGAAUCAUCGAAUCUUUGAACGCACAUUGCGCCCGCCAGUAUUCUGGCGGGCAUGCCUGUCCGAGCGUCAUUUCAACCCUCGAACCCCUCCGGGGGUCCGGCGUUGGGGAUCGGGAACCCCUAAGACGGGAUCCCGGCCCCGAAAUACAGUGGCGGUCUCGCCGCAGCCUCUCAUGCGCAGUAGUUUGCACAACUCGCACCGGGAGCGCGGCGCGUCCACGUCCGUAAAACACCCAACUUCUGAAAUGUUGACCUCGGAUCAGGUAGGAAUACCCGCUGAAACUUAA
rnacentral:rRNA from 1 species